rnacentral:rRNA from 1 species
UAACACGUGGGUAACCUACCUAUAAGACUGGAAUAACUCCGGGAAACCGGGGCUAAUGCCGGAUAACAUGUUGAACCGCAUGGUUCAACAGUGAAAGACGGUCUUGCUGUCACUUAUAGAUGGACCCGCGCCGUAUUAGCUAGUUGGUAAGGUAACGGCUUACCAAGGCGACGAUACGUAGCCGACCUGAGAGGGUGAUCGGCCACACUGGAACUGAGACACGGUCCAGACUCCUACGGGAGGCAGCAGUAGGGAAUCUUCCGCAAUGGGCGAAAGCCUGACGGAGCAACGCCGCGUGAGUGAUGAAGGUCUUCGGAUCGUAAAGCUCUGUUGUUAGGGAAGAACAUAUGUGUAAGUAACUGUGCACAUCUUGACGGUACCUAACCAGAAAGCCACGGCUAACUACGUGCCAGCAGCCGCGGUAAUACGUAGGUGGCAAGCGUUAUCCGGAAUU